CUCCGUUCCCUCUGGCCCUGUUUCCUCAUAUCUAAAAUGGGGAUAUUCAUGGAACCUGUCUCAUAGGGCCGUUACAAAUUAUUACAUUAAAUGAGAUAA